AACGGCCGUACCAUGCUGAAUAUACCGGUUCUCGUUAGAUCACUGAUCGUUAGUCAAGCAUCAUUGGGCGCGGUCAGUACUUGGGUGGGUGACCACCUGGGAACACUGCGUGCCGUU